UGGUUUGGCAGUGAGUUGCCAAAUAGUAAGAAUGGAGACUUCUUCCAAGAAACCUUGAACAACAUUACCUUGUUUGCCCAGCAUGAUGGCUAGUAUGAUCAAAGGCAAAAGGUGAAAGUGUGGGCAGCCACUAUUUUCAUAAUAAUUGAUUAGUUGUGUCUCUGUCAUCGUGCAUAUCAGUACACACUGCCCUAGCUGUUUCUUCCAGGACCUGCCUCUCCUGGGCAGCCAUCUCUGUACUCCACUGCCUGCUGUUGGCUUCCACGGGAUUUCCAGGUGUUCCAAGUGUCAGCCACUGACACUACCAUGUACAGCUACUCAUAUUCUGCCUGCUUCACACUGUGUUUUAAUCUCACUUCUCUCAGAGACCACAUUGCUUAGUCUUGCCCAAAUACAUGACACUGGAUUCUUUCAACAGCUGUCUUUGGUAAGGCAGUGUCGUAAGUUAUGGGUGCGUUAUCAGUAGGGGGAUUUGCCAAUUUGUACACAGUGACAUUCAACUCAUGCAACAGCCUAACUCCAGGGUCUGUGAGCCCCUUCACCUUUGAGAGUUUCCUUUUUCUUUUUUUAAAUAAUUAAAAAAAAUUUCUGAUUUUCUAAUUUUAAGUUAGCAUAGCAGAUUAAUUUUAGUGCCAGUCUUCACUGUACUUCAAGAGUUUUGCUUGGUCUCUUUUUCUCUAGCCUGCAAAUGAAAACAUAGUGAACUGGGAAGCAAGAAGGCAUUUAUAGUCAGCUAGUCAGCUUGAUUAAGGACUGAAUCUUUAUCCUUAGAUUUUGAAAGUGUGUAUUUUAUAAACUCUUUAAUUUCAUAUAAACGCAUCCCCACAUACGCAUUCUCACAUAUGCACUCCUAACUUCUCAACAUGUUCACGUUUCUAAUUCCAAUUUGCAACAUUUUAUCUGUUCCUGAGCAAAGCACUUUCUUUCUUUAUGUCCAAGACCCAAACAAACAAAAUUCCUUCACCUAUCUUUCUGAAUGACUGAAGAGAUGACAGGGGAAAAAAGCAAAACAAUCAAAUUUUCUCCCACUUAAAGUGAAAAUUUUACUGAAGCUUGUUUUGUUGCAUAGGGUUAUAGUGAAAACAGAUGAUAUUUGAAACCUGGCUUUGAAACAAUCCUCGCUCCAGCCUUCGCAGGCAACCAAACAUUCUCCUUCUCCACAUCACUUCCAACAGCCCUUUGAUACAGAAUAUUUCCCUGUUUAUCCUCUAAACAAAUUAUAAUUGCUGAUCUGAAGUCAUUUGUGUACUAAGAAAAUGGUGUAUUGUUAACUCCAAAUCCCACUAUUCUCUAUAAAUCCUUCUGCCGUAAAGAAUUAAAUAAAAUGAUGAAACAA